GGCUAGUCUAAAGGUAAUGGGUUAUCUCAUUUGAUUGUUCACAGUCAGUUACAGAUUGAACUCCUUGUUCUACUCUUUCCCCCUCAUCUCACUACUGCACAUGACUGAUUAAUA
ensembl:misc_RNA Y_RNA Y RNA